AUUGAACGCUGGCGGCAUGCUUUACACAUGCAAGUCGAACGGGGUGGAGGGGCAACCUUCCAUUCAGUGGCGAACGGGUGAGUAAUGCAUCGGAACGUGUCCCGUAGUGGGGGAUAACGCCGGGAAACCGGCGCUAAUACCGCAUAUGCUCUACGGAGGAAAGUGGGGGACCUGAAAGGUCCUCACGCCAUGGGAGCGGCCGAUGUCCGAUUAGCUAGUUGGCGGGGUAAAGGCCCACCAAGGCGACGAUCGGUAGCUGGUCUGAGAGGAUGAUCAGCCACACUGGGACUGAGACACGGCCCAGACUCCUACGGGAGGCAGCAGUGGGGAAUUUUGGACAAUGGGGGCAACCCUGAUCCAGCCAUGCCGCGUGCGGGAAGAAGGCCUUCGGGUUGUAAUCCGCUUUUAGCCGGAAAGAAAAGGCGGAGGCUAAUACCCUCCGUUCUUGACGGUACCGGCGGAAUAAGCACCGGCUAACUACGUGCCAGCAGCCGCGGUAACAC
rnacentral:rRNA from 1 species